CUAGGAAAUGGAAGCAGGAGAGAUCCUAACUGAAAACCAAAAACAAGCAAACAGCAACUUGUGCUAUGAUUGUGGGGAAGUUGAGCUGAACCUGGGCAUCCUUGCAUCACAAAGAAUUAAAUAAAGAUAAUAUAUGUGGAUACCUUAUGAUGAGAAGCUCAGGAAGCAUUCUCUUUCCCCACCAAGCUGGUGUUGCUCAAC
rnacentral:lncRNA from 1 species